GUGCUCACUUUGGCAACACAUACACUAAAAUUGGGACUGUACAGAGAUUAGCAUGGCCCCUGAGCAAGGAUGACAUGCAAAUUCAUGAAGUUUUCCAUAUUUUU